rnacentral:tmRNA from 1 species
UUUGAUGGCAAAUUAUUAUAAGUAUAAUAACCUUACAAUGCCAGUUUUUGGCUAUAGUAAUAUAUGUAAUAUAUAAAAAUUGUUUGGACUCGGGGGGCAGAACCCGACGCCUCCACCAGAAAGAUCUUGGGGGCGAAUUAGGCUCGACAGGCAGGGAUAGUAUAUUAUUUUUACUGGGGAAUGUUUUACCUCGCGCGUUAGCGUAAACAAAAUAAAAAGUAAAUGGCACUAUUGUUGCUAAUAAUGUAACGAAACUUGCUGAUGCUGCUAAAGGUCUACGCGAUGGAGUCGUAUCUGUGUUUCAAAACACAGUUACCUCUGCUGUUAGCUUAGCUGUAGCUUAGUUCAAGUGUUUUCAUUAGGGUAUGGAUCUAGCCUUCUAAUAGGUCGGGGUUUAGGGUUUCCUGUCAACAGAAAACCCUAUU